ACGGCUCAGUAACACGUAGUCAACAUGCCCAAAGGACGUGGAUAACCUCGGGAAACUGAGGAUAAACCACGAUAGGCCAAGGUUUCUGGAAUGAGCCAUGGCCGAAAUCUAUAUGGCCUUUGGAUUGGACUGCGGCCGAUCAGGCUGUUGGUGAGGUAAUGGCCCACCAAACCUGUAACCGGUACGGGCUUUGAGAGAAGUAGCCCGGAGAUGGGCACUGAGACAAGGGCCCAGGCCCUAUGGGGCGCAGCAGGCGCGAAACCUCUGCAAUAGGCGAAAGCCUGACAGGGUUACUCUGAGUGAUGCCCGCUAAGGGUAUCUUUUGGCACCUCUAAAAAUGGUGCAGAAUAAGGGGUGGGCAAGUCUGGUGUCAGCCGCCGCGGUAAUACCAGCACCCCGAGUUGUCGGGACGAUUAUUGGGCCUAAAGCAUCCGUAGCCUGUUCUACAAGUCCUCCGUUAAAUCCACCUGCUCAACAGAUGGGCUGCGGGGGAUACUAUAGGGCUAGGAGGCGGGAGAGGCAAACGGUACUCAGUGGGUAGGGGUAAAAUCCAUUGAUCUACUGAGGACCACCAGUGGCGAAGGCGGUUUGCCAGAACGCGCUCGACGGUGAGGGAUGAAAGCUGGGGGAGCAAACCGGAUUAGAUACCCGGGUAGUCCCAGCUGUAAACGAUGCAGACUCGGUGGAUGGGUUGGCUUCGAGCCAACCCAGUGCCGCAGGGAAGCCGUUAAGUCUGCCGCCUGGGGAGUACGGUCGCAAGACUGAAACUUAAAGGAAUUGGCGGGGGAGCAC
rnacentral:rRNA from 1 species